GCAUACUCAAGGCAUGUGCUCUACCCGUCUCUCCCGAGGAGCGCGCAGUGGCUGGAAGUGGGCCUCUACACACCACCCAGAGAAAGCACAGGCAAGCAAACAACACGGGCGGGCAGCGACCGCACAGAGCUCGCUCUCGCGCCCUUCGAGUGGCACGGCCGUAAGCCACAGCGCUGGCCAUAACAGCUGGAGGAGGGGGAAAGCCCUGCCUGAAAUCCUGGAGACCAGUCACUGUCGACACUGCUGAGCGAGAUGGACCAAUGACCUGACUCAGGAUAAGGCGUACCCGUCGCUAAUCCUAUGUGUGGCAGCUCUCGCGAGAGAGCUGCGGAUUAGGGACGAGGAGAAGCGGGUGCGGAGGAGAAGCGGCAGCUGCCAGAACGGACAGCUGUUCAGGGGAAGCAGCGGCUGCCAGGAUGGCUAGCUGUGCAGGGGAAGUGGCCACCACCAGGACGGCAGACGGCUGGCCAAGGAGAAGUGGCCACCACCAGGACAGCAGAUGGCCAGCCAAGGAGAAGUGGCAGCCGGCGGCUGAGGAAAAGCAGCCUGGCCGCUGACGGAGAACGGGCAGGAGGGAGAGAACGAAAUGGGACUGGAGGGGAGGGGAGAAAGAAUUGAAGAUGUGGGAGGAGAUACAGGGAAAACUAGGGGUGCAGAUGCUCUGCGCCAGGUCAGCUAGUCUUCCUAUACUCCUGCUGCAUGCUAUAGGUUUUCCCCAUUGUCUGGGAAACAUAUCAAUGGGGAUUCAGACCAGAAACUUCUGGCUUGAUAAUGAAAUCAUUUCCCCACUGCACCAUUAGGUGAUAUGGUUUCCCUAAAGUAAAGUGUGCCAUCAAGUCGAUUUCAACUCCUGGUGCCCACAGAGCCCUGUGGUUGUCUUUGGUAGAAUACAGGAGGGGUUUACCAUUGCCUUCUUCCACACUGUAUGCGGUGAUACCUUUCAGCAUCUUCCUAUAUCGCUGCUGCCCGAUAUAAUACCAGCGGGGAUUCAAACUGGCAACCUUCUGAGUGUUAGUCAAGCAUUUUCCCGCUGCGCCACUUAAGGUGACCCUCCAUUAAAACGUCUAAGGCAGUAGCCACUGACCCCUUUUGUGCAGCAGGUCCCCUAAAUUAAUGGUUAAUAAGUAUUUUUUGCUGUUUCUCCUUAAAGUUACUGUCCAUCAAUUCCAUUGGGUGACCCUGGAUGCUAGUAUUGGGGUGCGGGUGGGGUGUCCAACAUUAGUGCCCAUCUUUCUUCCAAAUUCCUAAUAUGGUCCUUAUUGUUUGUGUGUGGUUUUUUAAUGAGAGAAGUCCAGGGCUUAUCCAAAAUUUACCCUCACAAACUUUUAAACCCUUCCCAAAUAUGUUGCUGGUUUGAUAAGAGAUAGAGCUCUUAGCACUUGCUCAGAGGCACUUCAUAUGUUCCAGGGCUGAGAUCUUAUGCUGAGAACAGAUUCUGGGAGCUAGGCCUUGGUAAUCCCUGCCCCAUUCGCAACACUAUAAUAAUUACAUAAAAGCUGGUGACAAAUUUCACUCUCUAAUGAAUACUUAGAUAAAUGCUUAGUAUUGAGUGUUCAAAACAUGUAUUACCUUGUAAUCCUUACAAUAUAUGUAAAAAAUAACCCUGUAAACUAAGUAGUAUUAUCCCCACAUCACAGAUGAGGGCUGAGGCUGAAAGGGAUUGGCUUGUCUAAGGUUGCCUAUUGAGUUCAUGGCAGAGACAAGAUUCAAACCAGGGACUUUAAUCCAUAGUUCAUUCUCUUAGCUGUUAUACCAGCUCUCUGACAAAGCAACAGAACUCAGAAUGGGGCUAUGCAAAUAAGAACAGUCUUGAUUCUCCAUGGCUGCAAUCAUCAGAAGCAGGGAGCAGGUUUUAGCAUCCUUUCCAGUGGUGUCCCCAAGUGCAUCCUCAUACAAGUGAGUAUUUGUCUCUCAGCUCUUCCUCCUUUGGGGAAAAACAUAAAUUAAAAGCUAGACUGAUACACUCUGCCUUGCUUCCGAGUUGACUUGAUAUACUCAUACUGUAUCUGUUUUGCUGACAAGUUGCUAAGGUGAGAAGAACAUUUGCUUGGGAUCUUGUUUAGUCCAUUUAUUGUGUCUACCCUUAGCAAUACUUUGUUACUUUAAAAAUGCUCUUCUGUGUUUUAGUUUAUCUAUUUCUUAAGGCCAAUUUUUGCCUUAUUCUGUUACUAGCCCUUUUCAGACAAUCAUUAAUGAACUUGUGAUGUGGGGGAGCAGGGUUUUAGUGGCAGGUUCAUUGCAUGUGCAAGGCUGGAACAGAUUCAGAGUUUUUGAAUGCAUGGAGAGAACCAUACAGGCGGAAUGCUUGUAUACAUGCAUAAAAGGUGAAGCAGGAACUUCUGCCAUGAUUCCAUCCCCCUCCACCUCUGUGUGCGUUCACUCAGCCUAAUGAUUGUCUGAAAAGGCUAAUACUGCAUAUCUUUCAUCUUUCUGGCUGAAUUUGAAGCAUAUGUUGAUUUUAUAAUACAAAUAGCUGUCUAUUAUGUGUCCUAUGAAAAUGAGCUCAUCUAACAUAAGUAUCCAACCAGCCAUCAGGAAAUUGCCAUCUUCAGACACCUAGGCCUCUUCCAGUUGGUACACGAAGGACAAAAAGGCUCCAUAUGCCAUUACUUGGACUCUGAGCCAUCAAGUCUGCUCCUGCCCACCCCCACUUUCCUCCUAUUGAUUUUAUAGCAUUUUGCUAAAUGCUAUCAUCCAUACAGAUGUCUGCCAUCAUUUUGUUGACAUAGUGAGUCAAUACUUCAUUAAAUGUUACCUUUCAGCUUUACCCUUAAUUGUCUAAAGUAUAUGUGGUGUUUUCAUUAUUUAUGUGACUGCACCAUUAAAUUAUGCAUUCUGGAAUUUAAAAAAAAUAAAAGGUUUUGUUUACAUUU